GAUGUUGGUAAGUAGUCGUAAAUACGCUGUUCUAAUGUUUGAUAUAAUGUCUUUUCUGUUUGCAGAUAUUAAUCAGAUUAACGUUAGCUCCCUCAUGUUCAGUCACUGCAUUAUAUCUGUCACCUCCACUGAGGUUUUGCUUUUCAUUGCUUUCUAUAUUAAAUACUAAACUAGGGUGAUUAAACACUGUCACGUGACGUGCAAUAUAUUGCACAAUAUAAUAUAACAUAUUCAUAUCAGGUUCAAAGUAGUACAAGUGUAGUUUCAAAAUGGUAUUUGUUGUAGAAGCACGGUAAAAAAACAACACUUACCAUGCUUUUUACCACAGUAUUGGUAGUUUUAAUGUGAUUUUUGUUGUAAAUACAGAGUAACCACAACACUUAUCAUGCUUUUAAUGCCUAAUAAUGUUAAAUCCAAAAACUGUAAGGUCAAUAAGAACUUCUUUCCUAUAUAUAUUUAGGCUAUAUAUAAACCUAUAUAUUAUAAAUAAUGAUAUUUUCUUUUCUCUUGUUUUAGCUGAAAAGACAAAAAGGGCCUUUCGGAAAUGGAUGAAGGAGACAGAAAGCUGCAAAGGCAAAUAAUUGCAAUGGUAUGUAUGUGUUGCUUUUAACCCUUUAUCAAACAUUUUAUCAAGCAUUUGUUAAAUAGUCUCACAGUAAAUUAAAAUUAAAGUCAAAUCCUGUACAUAUUUAUCACCUUAUUUGUAAAUCAGUUGUGCCCCUUCUUGGACAGUUGGACGUCCCACACAUAAAAGUUUAUAUUAAUUCCAUUGAAUUCUUUAAAAUGAUUACAGAUUGGGCCCAAAAUGUUCCAAUGAUACAUGAUGUCUCUCCGCACCUCAUAACUACCUCUGUUUGCAAGAGUGGAAAUUAUCAUUUGACUUGUCACAUGACAUCAGAUAUUCGAUUAUUUUGUCAUAAUCAAAAUAAUUGAAUAUCUGAUGUCUAUUCAAUAUCUAAUCAGUUACACUGCUGAUAAUGUCCUGCUUGCAUGUGAAACAUGUUAUUUUUUUAUUUAUUCUUUUAAAUAUAAAUAUAGCUUGCUAUUAAAGACAUAUGUUUAAUCAUGGAAAUGCCCACAUAUCAGUGAACUUAUUACAUAAAUGCAUUUAACAUUUAAUUAUGCAACACUCUUUACAGAAGGAAAUCCUACAGUUAUGUGUAAAUUGACAACUUGAAUGUGAUGUAAUAAAUUUACCUUCCUUUCUGUCUUGCAGGAUUACUUGCAGAUUACUUAGUCCUUCUUUUUAGGAUCUCUACAACGUCAAACUCAACAGCUCUUUUAAGAGCCGACCCUCACAAGAGCUACUAGUGAGUCGCUGCAAACCUGCCAUGAUCAGCCCUUUCCAGAGAAGGAAGACCAGUCCUUAUAUCAAAACAAGCUCAUCGAAGUCCUUUGUUUAGGGUGAGGAAGGAACAUGACCAUCUCAUGCCCAAAGAAGACAGAAGUCCAUUGAUAGCAAGUGAAGUCACUAACAGAAGAUCCUAGAGGAAAAACGACUGAUGUGCAGCUACAGAGGAACACAAGAGGCAGAAACUAUGCGUGGCCAUGGCUUCUUCAUGAGUACGACCAGGACUGAAGAAUGCCUGACAAUGGGAUGUUAAGACUUCUUCCUCUGGAUGAGAAAAAGCUACAGCACAUCAGUGAUCACAUCUUCUGGUCAUCAGUUGUACUGUAGAGUACAAACUGUUUAGAAGAAGAACAUGAACAUGAUAGAGACGUGUACAGGGAAGAGCAAGAACCCAGUUCAGCUGUGAUAAUGAAUCUUUAUUUUAAACUCAAUAUCAAAUCUGUUUUCUGGAUCAUAGUUGACUGGAUGGGAUUCUGUGGCGCUCAUUUGUGCAAUAGGAGUAAAGUCUGUGAAUGGAUUAUUAUGACGUUAACGUAUUUUUGAAGACACGUUUUUAUUUAUCUUGAAUCUCAUUUGUCUUUAUGCAAAUUUCAACCUUAUGCUGUAUCCUCCAAUAAAGUGUUGUGUAAUAAA